UAAGAGAUUCAACAGAAAUUAUACAAGAUGUAAAGUGCGAAAGAUUCUCUCAGCGGGGUGAAAAAAAAUCUUCCUCCAGAGUAACACAGACAGAUGAGGAGGUAAAAUGCUGCGCAGAGAAGUGGAGAAACAGAGCAAGAUAGGAAACAGAAGAAACAUAGACAACAAAAGAACAGGGUAGCUAUGCAGUGAGGCAGACAGAUGGAUAGUGCCUCAGACUAAGUGGACCAGACUCCAGGGAGAGGUGGCACAGGACAGACUGGUCACUGGCCCUUCAGGAGUAGCUGUGAGUUUUUAUAGAAUCUGGCUAACACUUUGAAUGGCUGCCACUAGGGCACGUUCCCAUGGAAACACAGACAGCACUGAGCCUGGCAAACAUCUUUACAAAUGAACUGCACAGACGCCUUUCUAUGCAACCUUGAAGACAGGAACAAAAGCUAUGAUGUGAGAGUUCCACCCUGGUGCGGAGUCGCUGCCAGCCUGCCUGUACUCUGGAUCACCAGUCCGUUGCUCACUGCCUGCCAGUCCUGACACCGUGCGAUCGGCCCCCCCCCCCCCCCGAGACUGGAAACUCUCCGCCAGCCCCCCGAACUCCUUUGCCAUCUCUGAGCUCUUUAAAUAAAGUCCUGCCUACUUC